rnacentral:tRNA from 1 species
GAGAAUGUAGUUAAGUUAAUAUUAAUUUGUCAAGUUAAAGAUGAAAUAA